rnacentral:piRNA from 1 species
UCUAAGAUAGACAAAUCCUUAGGCCCUAU